ACCACUACAGAACCCACCACCACCACUACAAAACCCACCACCACCACCACCACCACUACAGAACCCACCACUCCCACUACAAAACCCACCACCAGCACCACCACUACAAAACCCACCACCAGAACCACCACUACAAAACCCACCACCAGAACCACCACUACAAAACCCACCACCAGAACCACCACUACAAAACCCACCACCAGAACCACCACUACAAAACCCACCACCAGAACCACCACUACAAAACCCACCACCAGAACCACCACUACAAAACCCACCACCAGAACCACCACUACAAAACCCACCACCAGAACCACCACUACAAAACCCACCACCAGAACCACCACUACAAAACCCACCACCAGAACCACCACUAAAAAAACCACCACCACCACCCCGAGAGCAACAACCACCACUACUAAACCGACCACCACCACCACCAGCCCACCACCACCAAGAUGUUUAACUCAGGCAUUCAACGGAGUGUUCUACUGGUCCUCCCCAGGCUUCGGGAUUACCAACUACCCGAAUAACUUUAACUGCGCACUGCGAGGAGUUUCGACGACAUCCAUGUUGACGCUGAAACUGGAGAGGUUCACGCUGCAGGGAGCGCUGAGAAGAUGUGUGGAUGGCGUCGAGUUAACAUUCUUGUACAAUCGAACGACAACGUUGUGUGGGUCUCAAUCAGGGAAAGUCUUUACAUCGCCAUCUUUCAAUUUCAACGCGAGAUUCUUCACCGACCCCACGAAGACCUAUCAGGGCUACAACAUCUCCUUCACGCCUGCAACCACGAGUUGUCACCAGAUAAUCACGGCAGCUGUUGGUCAGACUGGCACAAUAACUUCCCCUCCAGCAGAAAAAUACUGCGAAUACCGAAUCCAGGCUCCUUCUGGAAGUCGCGUGAAGGUCAACGAAGUUACAUCAAGGAUUCUAGGGACAACGAACUGUGAAACUGACUGGCUUCUGCUGAACGGGAGGAGUGAGAAGAUGUACCCGUCAGACACCAGCUUAAUUAUCUGCGGCUAUAGGGUAGUGCCUUCACCUCUGAUAUCCCAGACCAAUGAGGUGUACGCAGCUUAUCAAGGCACCAGCAGCAGCAGCCUCGGUGUCACUAUCAAGUAUACCGUCAUCUAAGUCAAACGUUCCUGGAUUUUCUCGCCAAUCACGACUCCAAUGUAUCUACUAUACGGGCACGAAUUUCAUUUUCUUUACAACAAAGGAGACAGCUCAAGGGCACACAAAAAAGGAAACAAUAAUGAAAAAAAAAGAGCCCGCUUCUCGCUGCUCCUAAAAAAAUGAAUCAAAAGAGGUGGCCGAAAGAGAGGUCAAUUUCGGGAGGAGAAUUCAUUAGUACACCUGCAACCCUUUCAGUUUGCCUCUUGCCCACGAUGUUUCUUUGUUUAAAAUCAUAUCACUGGUAAGCCAAGUCAGCUGAUAUAACUUAAACGAGGAACAGAUAUCAAGGCUGGUAUUACAAGACACUUUCCCUUCUCACAUCAAGAUAUUUCUAAAGGUCAAAAGGGGAUAUCAAUCAGGCUCUAAUGAGUGUUUUUUAGGCUCAGGGUACAGAAGAUGGGUCAAACUACCACCAGGGUCAUAAAACUAGAACCGGAAAUGCCCACAACUUCUAGGAAAGCCUUGUCAAAUAUGUGUUCUUGGGCGGCGAAAUGUCUUAUAAUCCGAGCCUAAGCAUCCUUUUAGUGUUCUACAAUAGCCGCCCCAAGAAAAUAAAUCUAUGCAGCAG